UCUCUCAAGUGUUGCCCACGAAUAGCUUGUUGCCCACGAAUCCCAUUUUUGUGGAUGACAACGAGACUCCAGGGCCGUGAGAAGAACCUGCUGCCACGAGGGGAUCCCGGGAUUGUGAGAACUUCCUCUCCACGGAGCAAUGAAGAGGCAGAGAUUCCCAAAUGUUUGGUUGCGUGACAAUUGCAACAUCAGGGAUACCUCGAGAGGCAACGAUCGCUCCCUGACUGUAAGGGGAAAGA
rnacentral:lncRNA from 1 species